AGUGCUGUGAAAAAUAACGAGUUAAUUUAGUUAAUGUGAAAUGUUAUGGGGAGAAAAAAGUUUCAAAAGAUUUGUGCAUGUGUGUCUAAAUUUAGGUGUGUAUCAAUAUUUGUGUGUGCGUGACUAAAGAUUUGUGUGUGCGUCUAGAUUUGUGUGUAUCUAAAUGUGUUUGUAUCUAGAUUUGUGUGUGUAUAACUCUUGAUUUGUAACUUGUGUUUACAUUUUCGUGUGUAACUUCAGCUCCUAAACAUACAAAUCAUUGAAUACACACACACGCACACAUCACGUGGUACACACAAACAAUACUACAUCACACACAGAUCAUUUUACACUUACAAAAAUCCUUUUGAGACUUUUCUCACUUGACUGAUUUGUGUGCAUGGUGCGUUCAAAAGCUGGGUUGAAGCUGGAAAAUCAAAAUUUUUGGAUUUACCGGUAGUCUAAACUUGUAUUUAAGGGGCAAGAUGUUUUUCUGUGGGAAAAAAAGGUAUCUUAGGAUUCUAUAGUUAUAAAAUAUAGACCUAAAUUUACUUUUUUAUAAUGUAAAAUUGUUUAUUUAGACAUAUGUGUUUAUGAUCCAUGAAAACUUAAUGUGUUAAAAGAAAUGACCACUAGAUGGCAGAGUGGUUGUCUGACUGGAAAAAGCAGGAUUCAAACCCGGGAGACGGCAGGAAAAGAUGGCGCAGCGUCCUGGCUAUCUUUCCUCUGAACCUGCAUUUUUACCUCCUGCUCAGCUCAUCCACACAUGGUCCGCCGUCUCCACCUCCUACACCGUGACACUCCAUCGAUCGUAAUGGGCAAUGUGAGAUCACUGGCCAACAAGAUGGAGGAACUCCAAGCCCUUUCAAGGACUCAGCCAGAGUUUCGGCAGUUUCAGAACCGCUGGAGGAGAUAAUGCAAAGAAGGAUUCUCCAGAGAAUCAAGAAAAUUAUGGACAACCCUGAGCAUUCUCUUCACAAGACUGUCCGACAACGGAAGAGUGUCUUCAGUCAGAGGCUUCUUCAGUUUCGCUGCAACACUGACCGCUACUGGAGAUCCUUCCUGCCAACAGCCAUUGUAAUAUACAAUAACUCUUUGAUGACUUGAUUAUUAUUAUUAUUCUGAGCUACUACAGCAAUCAAUUUCCCUCUGGGAUUAAUAAAGCAUUUUUGUAUUUGAAUUGAAUUGAAUAUAUUAGUGCUGUGAAAAAUAACAUGUUAUUUUAGUUAAUUAAUGUGAAAAGUUAUAUUAUGGGGAGAAAUUUUUUUCAAAAGAUUUGUGCAUGUGUGUCUAAAUUUGUGUGUGUGUGUGUGUGUAGAUUUAUGUGUAUCUAAAUGUGUGCGUCUAGAUUUGUGUAUGUGUAACUCUUGAUUUGUAACUUGUGUUUAAAUUUUCGUGUGUAACUUCAGCUCCUAAACAUACAAAUCAUUGAAUACACACACACACACACACACACAAAUCAAGACAAAACUACAUCACACACAGAUCAGUUUACACUUACAACAAUCCUUUUGAGACUUUUCUGAAUUUUCUUAGGAUUCUGUAGUUAUAAAAGAUAGACCUAUAUUUUCUUUUUAAUAAUCUAAAAUUCUUCAUUUAGACAUAUAUGUGUUUCUGAUCCACGAAAACUUAGUCAAAGUGUUAUAAGAAAUGACCACUAGAUGGCAGAGUGGUUGUCUGACUGGAAAAAGCAGGAUUCAAACCCGGCAAGCGAAGAUGGCGGGGCGUCCUGGCGAUCUUUCCUCUAAACCUGCACGCUUUGCACUCCGGUUAUAAUGAGACAGCUAUUAUUUUUGACCAUUUCAAACGUUUUAUAGGUCUGACAGCCAGAUUCAUACACUGUCCUUAUUUCUGUGUUAGCAGGCGCUAACGUCUGUGUGAGCUAAGCUAGGUUAGCUAUUUCAAGCUGUUGUGAACAUAGAUAUGAAACUAGAAUAGUAUUUGUGCGCUGUAAGAUGAACAGAAUUAUUCAGUUGUACUGCCAGACUUGCAUUUGAAUUUGUUCAGGUGACAUCAAGGGCAUAAAAGCUGCUUAGCAUAGCGUUGUUUUGCAAGGUUAGCUUACAGUGUGUUUAAAAUCCAUCUAUUAAAAAUGGUUUUCAAUCAUUUAGCAGCUUAGUUACACAACUGUAUUAACAUGCGUGCCAAAGUGAAGUUGCUGUGGUUUUGAAUGUGUCAUAAACCAUGCUGAAAGACAGAAAAUUCACUGAACACGUCCGACCACAACUCCCAGAAUGUACCGGACAGGGAAGCGCCACUUUAUGUGUGCGCACAAUAACAGUGGGACAGUUUACAUGCGAGGAGAUGUAUUUAACUCACAAAAUAAAAUCACAAGAUUGAUAAACAAGCUUUUUUUUAAAGCUUGGAGGAUUUUUACUGCUAUUUUUGAGCUUUUUCACUUUUUGAGCAUUUGUUAUGAUGUGUAACCAUGGCUACAAGCUGGUUUACAAUCGGGAGUGGCUGAUUAACAUUGGAAAGGCUGAAAUAAUACCUCAAGUGAAGCCAUGAAUCCCAAAUGAGCUAAAAUGCAAGAAGCGUGAAUGCAGAGCGGGAGCAAAACGGAGACAGAGAAAGAGGAAAUACAAACCAUCUCCUCCAUCGAUCAUAAUGGGCAAUGUGAGAUCCCUGGCCAACAAGAUGGAGGAACUCCAAGCCCUUUCAAGGACUCAGCCAGAGUUUCGGCAGUUUCAGAACCGCUGGAGGAGAUAAUGCAAAGAAGGAUUCUCCAGAGAAUCAAGAAAAUUAUGGACAACCCUGAGCAUUCUCUUCACAAGACUGUCCGACAACAGAAGAGUGUCUUCAGUCAGGCUUCUUCAGUUUCGCUGCAACACUGACCGCUACUGGAGAUCCUUCCUUUCAACAGCCAUUGUAAUAUACAAUAACUCUUUGAUGACUUGAUUAUUAUUAUUAUUCUGAGCUACUACAGCAAUCAAUUUCCCUCUGGGAUUAAUAAAGCAUUUUUGAAUUGAAUAGAAUAAAUAUAUUGUUAAUUUUUAUAAUAAUAAUAAUUAUUAUUAUUAUAUAAUUGUUUUUAAUUUAUAUAUAUAUAUUAGUGCUGUGAAAAAUAACGCGUUAAUUUAGUUAAUGUGAAAUGUUAUGGGGAGAAAAAAGUUUCAAAAGAUUUUUGCAUGUGUGUCUAAAUUUAGGUGUGUAUCAAUAUUUGUGUGUGCGUGACUAAAGAUUUGUGUGUGCGUCUAGAUUUGUGUGUAUCUAAAUGUGUGUGUAUCUAGAUUUGUGUGUGUAUAACUCUUGAUUUGUAACUUGUGUUUACAUUUUCGUGUGUAACUUCAGCUCCUAAACAUUCAAAUCAUUGAAUACACACACACACACAUCACGUGGUACACACAAACAAAACUACAUCACACACAGAUCAUUUUACACUUACAAAAAUCCUUUUGAGACUUUUCUCACUUGACUGAUUUGUGUGCAUGGUGCGUUCAAAAGCUGGGUUGAAGCUGGAAAAUCAAAUCUUUGGAUUUACCGGUAGUCUAAACUUGUAUUUAAGGGGCAAGAUGUUUUUCUGUGGGAAAAAAAGGUAUCUUAGGAUUCUAUAGUUAUAAAAUAUAGACCUAAAUUUACUUUUUAAUAAUGUAAAUUUGUUUAUUUAGACAUAUAUGUGUUUAUGAUCCAUGAAAACUUAAUGUGUUAAAAGAAAUGACCACUAGAUGGCAGAGUGGUUGUCUGACUGGAAAAAGGAUUCAAACCCGGGAGACGGCAGGAAAAGAUGGCGCAGCGUCCUGGCGAUCUUUCCUCUGAACUCAUCCACACAUGGUCCGCCGUCUCCACCUCCUACACCGUGACACUCCAUCGAUCGUAAUGGGCAAUGUGAGAUCACUGGCCAACAAGAUGGAGGAACUCCAAGCCCUUUCAAGGACUCAGCCAGAGUUUCGGCAGUUUCAGAACCGCUGGAGGAGAUAAUGCAAAGAAGGAUUCUCCAGAGAAUCAAGAAAAUUAUGGACAACCCUGAGCAUUCUCUUCACAAGACUGUCCGACAACGGAAGAGUGUCUUCAGUCAGAGGCUUCUUCAGUUUCGCUGCAACACUGACCGCUACUGGAGAUCCUUCCUGCCAACAGCCAUUGUAAUAUACAAUAACUCUUUGAUGACUUGAUUAUUAUUAUUAUUCUGAGCUACUACAGCAAUCAAUUUCCCUCUGGGAUUAAUAAAGCAUUUUUGUAUUUGAAUUGAAUUGAAUAUAUUAGUGCUGUGAUAAAUAACAUGUUAUUUUAGUUAAUUAAUGUGAAACGUUAUAUUAUGGGGAGAAAAUUUUUUCAAAAGA